GCAUUGCUGAGGAGUCCCACCUUAGGACGAAACAGCCGUCCAGUGC
rfam:Schistosoma mansoni strain Puerto Rico chromosome 1, complete genome